AGCAGCCGCGGUAAUUCCAGCUCCAAUAGCGUAUAUUAAAGUUGUUGCAGUUAAAAAGCUCGUAGUUGAACUUCGGGGUUUACCCAUUGGUCAGGCUUAAUUGUCUGCACUGGUGAGAUGAAUCUCUACCUUCUGAGGAACUUUCAUGCCAUUUAUUUGGUGUGAUGGGAAAUCAGGACUGUUACUUUGAAAAAUUAGAGUGUUUAAAGCAGGCUAACGUCUGAAUACAUUAGCAUGGAAUAAUGAAAUAGGACGGACUGAUUCUAUUUCGUUGGUUUCUAGGAUCACCGUAAUGAUUAAUAGGGAUAGUUGGGGGCAUUAGUAUUCAAUUGUCAGAGGUGAAAUUCUUGGAUUUAUUGAAGACUAACUACUGCGAAAGCAUUUGCCAAGGAUGUUUUCAUUAAUCAAGAACGAAAGUUAGGGGAUCGAAGACGAUCAGAUACCGUCGUA
rnacentral:rRNA from 1 species